AACGAACGCUGGCGGCAUGCCUAACACAUGCAAGUCGAACGAAGCCUUCGGGCUUAGUGGCGCACGGGUGCGUAACGCGUGGGAAUCUGCCCUCAGGUACGGAAUAACUCAGGGAAACUUGAGCUAAUACCGUAUAAUGACUUCGGUCCAAAGAUUUAUCGCCUGAGGAUGAGCAGGGGUCGGAUUAGCCAGUUGGUUGGGUAAAGGCUCACCAAGGCGACGAUCCGUAGUUGGUCUGAGAGGAUGAUCAGCCACACUGGGACUGAGACACGGCCCAGACUCCUACGGGAGGCAGCAGUGGGGAAUAUUGGACAAUGGGCGCAAGCCUGAUCCAGCAAUGCCGCGUGAGUGAUGAAGGCCUUAGGGUUGUAAAGCUCUUUUACCCGGGAAGAUAAUGACUGUACCGGGAGAAUAAGCCCCGGCUAACUCCGUGCCAGCCGCCGCAGUAA
rnacentral:rRNA from 1 species